GGGUCAGGUUACCGCGGCGCCGCCGACGGCGACGAGGAAAGUCCGGACUCCGGAGAGCACGGCACCGGGUAACGCCCGGCUGUGCCCGUUUCGACGGGCGCAAGAGACAGUGCCACAGAAACGAGACCGCCGGCGGGCCUUCGGGCGCGUCGGUAAGGGUGAAACGGUGGGGUAAGAGCCCACCGGUCCCCCGGCAACGGGGGACGUCAUGGUAAACCUUGCCGGGAGCAAAACCAAGCAGCAGAGGGGUGGCUCGCCCUUGUCUCUGCGGGUAGGUUGCUGGAGCCGGUUGGAAACAGGCGGUGUAGAUAGAUGGUAACCCACGACAGAAUCCGGCUUACCGACCCC
rnacentral:RNase_P_RNA from 1 species